ensembl:lncRNA
AUGAGGACCUCUGAAGGAGGUUUUUAUGCCUAAGUCAGGGGUCGCAUUACAGGUACUGGGUUUUGGAGGCAGGGAGACAGGAAGUAUUCAGCAGGAAGUGGGAGUGUCAAGAGACUGGAGGGAAAAAGGUUGGCCCAAGGACCCAGAUAUCUGGGUCCCUGAAGCGGGACUGCCACCUCCACCUCACCUGGUCCCCAAACCAUUUGCAUUUCUGCAGACUCAACCUGUUCAUCCACUCCAAUUCCAUCCAAAUCAGGGCUCCAGAGGCCUCCUCCAGGACACCUGGAGUGGCCUGUCUCACACCUUCCCCUCUCCCAAGCCAACCCUAGACCCCUCACCGAUGAGCAUUCGGUAUUUGUGUGGGUGCCGAGCGUCUUCAAUGACAGGAAUAAUGUUGGUCCGCUUCUUGGCCAAAUUAAUGAGGUCACGGCCAGAACGGUGGGAGAACUCAACUGCAUAGACCAGACCGUCCUGGCCGACGAUAUCAGAGACGUGGGAGACGGUGGUGCCCGAGGCAGCCCCGAGGUAGAGGACCUUGGCCCCUGGCUUGAUGUGGAUCUGGUCCACCCCGCCCAGGAUUGCCGCUGCCAGCUUGGAACGGAAGGGGUUCCAGGCACGGUACUCAAUUUUGUCAUCUCCCUCCUGCACCGAGAGCAAUGGGGAUGGAAGUCAGUGCCAGGCUCUUCUGCAAGACCCCAAGGCUCUUAACUCUAGGGCCCUCAAAAGGGACUGGGCCCCCAGUCAUUGUACAAGAAACAAAUGAGUAUAUCCAUCUAUGACCACAACAGGCAGGGCCUGCGCUCUCGUGGGGGUUCCUGACUCAGGGAGAAGGGGCAGCGACGGGGACAAUAAAGACAAGAUCACCCCAGACAACAGCAAGGCAAGACCUCUGUGUUCGUUCUACAACACUGCCUGUGCUGGCCCCUAAGCUCAGGCACUGGGCAAACACACCGAAGGGGACAAAGGCCUUGCUCUCCAGGAGUGAGGACAUGCUGAAUGGACACACACGGCAUAGGAGCCAGUGACAGGUGCUCAGAAGAAAGGUCAAGCCAGGAAGGGGCGUGUGAAGUCCAGGGAGCAGGGCGAGGGCAGGUGAGGAUGAGAAGGCAGCGGCCAGGAGAGCCCAGGAAGAGGAAUCGCCCAAAGCUGAGGGCUCACUCAGGUCAAUAAGGAAGUGAGUUCCGGGCAGCAGGGACGCCUGCAGAGAGGUCGUGAGGGCUGCUUCUGCUAGACAGGGUGGGGCAAGGGGGCCUUGUGAGGGANNNNNNNNNNNNNNNNNNNNNNNNNNNNNNNNNNNNGGGCUGGCCCUACCUGAAGCGGGGAGGAGGAGAAUAUUCCAGGCAAGGAGAACAGGGAGGCUGUGGGAGUGACUGGAAGACACGUGGUUAGGGAGAGAGGGAGAUUGCACGGGCAGGGCCCCCCAGUCACACUGAGGACCCAAGACUUGAACCUGAAGCCAGUGCGAGGUCACGGAUGUGUCUGGGGAGGGAGUGUGUGAUCUGACUUGUAGCUUAAGAUGAUCCCCUGGCUGUCUCGUGCAGGAUGAACAGUGGGGCCCAGGGAGACCAGACUGCUGGUGGCCCUGGCAGCUUAGCUAGGCAGGGGGUCUCACCGAAAUCGAGACUCUCUUCUCUCCGUAAACAGAUUCCCCAGGGACCAGGUUCUUGGUGACCAGCGCAUCUUCCUUUCCUCGACAAAUGAAGACGCCUGGGGGAGGGGGCCAGAGCGG